CAAGAUUGAACUUAGCGAAAUCUCAAGGUCACCUCCCGAUCAUAUCCUUCAUGUUAUUAAUUAAUAAGAAUCUAACGGAUCAAAAAGUGUGUAUAUAUACAUUAAGAAUACACAAUACAAUACAAGAUGUAUAUGAUCAUUAUACUGUGCUAAUUAUUCAUGUUUUCACCAAAUUUUUGCUUGGAUCCGAUUCGACCCAAUUGGGUAAUUUUCAUUAUAUGUAGUCAAAUCUACUUCAAACAAAUGAAUUUAUAUUUGAGGGGAGCUUAUGCUAAGUUUGAGUUUAGGUGUGUUUUUAUGAUAUUUGAGACAAGUGGUUUAGUUGAGGUAUAUUAGGUGGUGAAAUAAAGUACAGUGCUGCGAUAUGCCUCGAACUUAACCCCAAAUUUGCGCCCCGAAUUUUGCCAAAACGCUGUGUUUUAAAAAGGUCGUUUUUCCUUUUUAACUGCAGCUGUGCAGCAAGUGUGUGUGAGCAUUGCUGAUUAAACCGAACGACGUCGGUUAUUCAAUUCAUUACAGCUGUGCAGCACGUGUUUGUCCUUCUAUUUGCUUUCGUUUCAACCCAACACUCAACACUCUGUGCAGCUUGCUUCAAUUCAUUGCAAACUGCAAAAUCGAACGACGUCGCUUCUUCAAUUCAUUGCGGCUGUGCAGCACGUGUUUGUCCUUCUAUUUGCUUUCGUUUCAACCCAACACUCAACACUCUGUGCAGCUCGCUUCAAUUCAUUGCAAACUGCAGCUCGCUUCAAUAACACAUCUUCUUCAGCCGAAUUGCAAAUUCGAGUUUCCCAAAUGUCAAGUUCACAAAUUGUUAAAUGAAAUUAUAAUUUGUUAAAUUAUGCAAGAUAUAUACCAUGAAUCAAACAUCAUAUUCAGCCGCGUCAACCAGUAACACACAAACACAUUAUCAAAUCACCAGGAAUUUCGAAUCAGCCAAAAUCCCAAUCAACUCUAAAAGAAUUAUUCCAUUACCUCAGAUGCAGAAAUAUUGGUAAUGGCAACGGAGACCUGGCCAAGGGGAGCUGGCUGUGGGGAGGGAGUGUUGCCGGCUAUCGCGUGUUAGCUUUGUAAGUGCCGGCUGUUGCGUGACUGUUGUGAUGGCAACAGAGACAUCGACCGAGUGAUGGCGGUGGUUCGUCGUCUGGGGCUCGUCAGUCGUUUGUGUCGGUUGUCUCGUCGGUGAUUGUAGAUUUUUGCGGGUGUGAGAGAUUGAGAGUAAAGAGAGACUCAAGAGAGAUUUUGCUCGCGUUUCUCGUCAAAAGGAAACGUUAAACGGUGCGUUUUCUAUUUAAUUAAAACGGUGCAUUUUAAUUCGGGGUGCAAUUCAGGGUUAAAAUCAAGGCAAAUAGCUUUUUCCAAUUAAGUAAUAUGCGUAGUGAGGUG
rnacentral:lncRNA from 1 species